rnacentral:rRNA from 1 species
AUUGAACGCUGGCGGCAGGCCUAACACAUGCAAGUCGAGCGAGCGGCGGACGGUUGCGUAAUGUCUGGGAAACUGCCUGAUGGAGGGGGAUAACUACUGGAAACGGUAGCUAAUACCGCAUACCAUCAGAUGUGCCCAGAUGGGAUUAGCUCGUAGGUGGGGUAACGGCUCACCUAGGCGACGAUCCCUAGAUGGUCUGAGAGGAUGACCAGCCACAAGGAAACUGAAACACGGUCCAGACUCCUACGGGAGGCAGCAGUGGGGAAUAUUGCACAAGGGGCGCAAGCCUGAUGCAGCAAUGCCACGUAUGUGAAGAAGGCCUUCGGGUUGUAAAGCACUUUCAGCGGGGAGGCGUUACCAGCAGAAGAAAAACAGGCUAACUCCGUGCCAGCAGCCGCGGUAAUUC